AUGAACGCUCGUCAGGUCUUGACUCGAACCACACUUAAGAAUCACAGAAAGGGUGUUCUAUGCAUAGUGAUACAUAAGAAGGAUGAUUCCCGCAAAAAGAAGAAGAAGGAGGAGGAGACAUUAGCCGCCAGCGGUUUCAUCGUUAGGGCUGCUCGAGGGAACAGAAGAGCUCUUGUGAUGACAUGUAAUCAUGUCGCUGCAUAUUUUGUCCCUCCUGGGGACAAGCUAGGCAUUAGAGCACCUGGGUUAGACCAGGAGCUCGAGUGUGAAAUACUCUACCAGGAUACCAACAAAGACCUAGCGAUUAUCGCUGUGUUUGGAAUGCCUGAGAAUUAUCCGGCUUUGAUAUUUUCCAGUGAGACAACUUUAACGAUUGGAACAGAUGCCGUGUUAGUGGCAUACUACACUCCCGAUAAGUUGGAGGAGACUAACAAUCCUAUUCCCAUUGAACCCGGAGCAUGUCCUGGAAGCAUUGUUGGACCAAAAAUCAGGGAAACAAAAGAAAUGGACUGGAAGGAAAGGAUGAGGCAUGAUUGCAAAUCAAUGAGUGGAUGCUCAGGAGGACCAGUUAUUGCAAAUGGUCGUGUCGUGGGAGUGCAACAAGAUGGUGACGUGCAGCAGGGGUACGCAGCUAAUUUUGUAACAGUGGAGGCUGUUGUGAGAGAAUGGGCUGGCUUGGAAGAUGGACAGGCUGCUGAUAGUACCCUAGAGGACCUGUUCGAGUUGCUGCGCGACUGA
rnacentral:rRNA from 1 species